GUGUUACUGUAGCGCAAUGGUUAGCGCUUUCGUCUACUAAUAGAAAGGUCGUGGGUUCGAAUCCCACCUGGUAUA